UUAUUUUCAUAAAAAGACGUUCAGGCAACAGUGAUGGAUCAAGAAGAGGAGGAAAAGGACAAAAAUACAGUUUAAAUUCCUUUAAAGAGGGAAAUCAACAUUGCUUAAAGUGGAUAUUUUAUUCAUACGAUAAAAUAUAUCAAAUUUGCACUUUUGACGCAGACACAUGUGUCGCCUUAAAAGGUUUAGUUUAAAUUUUUCAUAUAUGGACAUAUAUGAAUAGCUUCUUUACUCAUGAUUUCAACUGCAAGGACGUAUAAAAUGCAUUUAAAAAUGUUUGCCGGACUUACAUUGAUUGAAUAUUUUCAUAUAAAGUCGUUUAUUAUUUUAAUUGUAACAUUUCUAGCACAGAUUGAGGGUUGUCAAAAUGGAUCUGGGAAAGGGACCUGUACAUGGUCUGGGUAUUUUUUCGACGAGAUAUCAAAGGUAUGCAAAGAAUGUCCCCCUGGUUAUAUGGGCGUAAAUUGUUUACUUAGAUGUCGGUACCCGGGAUAUGGAAAACAUUGUCAAGAUGGUUGUUUAUGCAAUGCAGAAUAUUGCGAUUAUCGGAGUGGUUGUGUCAACAUAAGAGGUAAAUUCCUUCAAAGUUCUAUACUGAUCUGCGAUACAUUUCAUUAUUUAAAUUUUAAUUCUUUAGAGUAUCACACAUGAAAUUUAAUAAUAUUUCUAUUUCAAGCAUAAGCACAAUACUGCAUUUAAAUUAGACAUCCAUAUUUAGGUAAUUUAGACUGAUCUUAAUACACUGUUUAAUAUUUUGUCAAACAUUUUCCUUUUUAUGUAACAAAGCGCUGAAAAGUAUUAUCUAGUACGAGAUGAUGGUAUCAACUCAUGUUAUGUUGCUAAUAAGGGAUUCCCCAUGUAUCGAAACUAAUCACAUUUUCGUUUGAGUAUUUUGAAUACAGGUUCUAGUAUAAUAUUGGUUUUUUUACAAUUUUCAUGAACUACAGAAUGCAUGUAAGAAUAUAUUUCCUAAUGUGCUUUAGAGUGUUUAUAAACAUAAACAUAUAUAUUUUUUUGGAAUUUGUGUCAGUCCGCGAAGGAAAAUUGUGUAGGGGGCAUGCAGUCAAAAAAUGUUAUACAAUGUAUGUCAUGCAAACACAGUUUUGAUUUUUAAAUCAAUGAACAUUUUCUAUUAUAAGCAGUAAUAUGAAAACAGAUUUUGUAAGAAAAUUCACAAAAUUGAACAUAGUACAAACCAAGUAAUUUUGACAAGAAUGACGUGUUGACGGUAUAUAAUAAACCAAUCCUUGCACUGACUCAGUAUACUAAUGAACAGUGCAAUUUACCUGCGAUAGUAAUGAAUCGUUUAAAGAGAACACUACCUACCGGUAUGUUUGUAAACAAAGCGAGAAACACACAGUAACGAAGGUCAAAGUUAAUCAAUUAUUUAUCUCAAACGGAAGAAAUGAGCUGUACCAGUUGAAAAAAUAAUUUUUAAAUUGAAUUCUUUUUCAUUGACCAAACAAUAAAUGAUUUCGAUUUGUACUGAAUUGUUUUGCUGUAAAAAAGUAAUUAACACUAUGGCUAGAAACGCCCUUAUGAAUUGGCAUGUCUUCUUAGUGACUUUAACUGUAUUGGUUGAUAUUAUCUGAGCGUUUAUAUCUGUGAGUGAGUGUUACUGAUGUAUAAUGAUUUUUUUUGUAGUUUUCACAAUUUAAUGAACUUGAUGUAUUGAAAAUCAUAAAACUGAUUUUGUUUCAGUCAGGAAGGCUUAAACAUGUUAAAGGGUUCUUAGA